rnacentral:rRNA from 1 species
AGGGUUCGAUCAUGGCUCAGGAUGAACGCUAGCGGCAGGCUUAACACAUGCAAGUAGAACGGUAACAGAGAGAGCUUGCUCUUUGCUGACGAGUUGCGAACGGGUGCGUAACGCGUAUGCAACCUACCCAUAACAGGGGGGUAGCCCAUAGAAAUGUGGAUUAAUACCCCAUAACAUCAUUUUCUGGCAUCAGAGAAUGAUUAAAACUCCGGUGGUUAUGGAUGGGCAUGCGUGACAUUAGCUAGUUGGUGAGGUAACUGCUCACCAAGGCAACGAUGUCUAGGGGUUCUGAGAGGAUGAUCCCCCACACUGGUACUGAGACACGGACCAGACUCCUACGGGAGGCAGCAGUGAGGAAUAUUGCGCAAUGGAGGAAACUCUGACGCAGCCAUGCCGCGUGCAGGAAGACUGCCCUAUGGGUUGUAAACUGCUUUUAUAUAGGAAGAACUACAGCUACGUGUAGCUGUUUGACGGUACUAUACGAAUAAGGACCGGCUAACUCCGUGCCAGCCGCCGCGGUAAA